UACGAGUGCCCCGAGCGUUAUCCGGAAUCAUUGGGCGUAAAGGGUGUGUAGGUGGCAGUGUUAGUCGUCUGUUAAAACCUGGGGCUUAACCCCAGACUCGCGGACGAAACGGCACAGCUAGAGGAUGGCAGGGAUGUAUGGAACUCAUGGAGUAGGGGUGAAAUCCGUUGAUAUCAUGGGGAACACCAAAAGCGAAGGCAGUACAUUGGGCCACUCCUGACACUGAAACACGAAAGCGUGGGUAGCGAAUGGG
rnacentral:rRNA from 1 species